ACACCUCAACUCUCAUGGUUUGCCAUGAUGAGCUUGGACUUUGGGGGUCUUGCUGGCCUAUGGGUCGGCUCCUCUCAAAUGAAUCAGCUUGCCAGUGUUUGGUGGCAUCCACAGGUGUGAUAACUAUCUACGCUUGUGGUUUUCCAUCAGGUAACCUUCAGUGAUGGAGGUUCGCUGGGGCUCAUAAAUGUCUCUCCUCAGUGAGGACAGCUUUUUAAC
rnacentral:misc_RNA from 1 species